CCUAGGGGUGGCAGCAGUGGGGAAUAUUGGGCAAUGGGCGCAAGCCUGACCCAGCAACGCCGCGUGAAGGAUGAAGGUUUUCGGAUUGUAAACUUCUGUCGCGAGGGACGAAGAAUGACGGUACCUGACUAAGAAGCCCCGGCUAACUACGUGCCAGCAGCCGCGGUAAUACGUAGGGGGCAAGCGUUAUCCGGAUUUACUGGGUGUAAAGGGAGCGUAGACGGCGCUGCAAGUCCGGAGUGAAAGCCCAUGGCUUAACCAUGGUACUGCUCUGGAAACUGUAGAGCUUGAGUGCGGGAGGGGCAGGCGGAAUUCCUAGUGUAGCGGUGAAAUGCGUAGAUAUUAGGAGGAACACCGGCGGCGAAGGCGGCCUGCUGGACCGUAACUGACGUUGAGGCUCGAAAGCGUGGGGAGCAAACAGGAUUAGAUACCCGGGUAGUC
rnacentral:rRNA from 1 species